rnacentral:misc_RNA from 1 species
GACUAGUCGAGGAUGGGCAUUUGUCAGUGUCAACUAUGGAGGAAGCUCUGGUUAUGGGAGGGACUAUCGAGAAAGGCUUUUGAGGAAUUGGGGCAUUGUUGAUGUCAAUGACUGUUGCAGUUGUGCACGAUAUUUGGUCCAUUCGGGAGUAGUUGAUGCAGAAAGAUUAUGCAUUUCUGGGGAAUCUGCUGGAGGAUACACUGUCCUAGCUGCUCUAGCUUUCAGAGAUACAUUCAAGGCAGGAGCUUCCUUGUAUGGUAUAGCUGACUUGCAGAUGUUGCGUGCUGGAAUGCACAAAUUUGAAUCUUAUUAUAUUGAUAAUCUUGUUGGAGGUGAAAGAG